GAAAGAGGUAGGGGUUGUCUGUAAGGAAGGAGUUAAGGGUGGUCUGUAGGGAAGGAGGUAGGGUUGUCUGUAAGGAAGGAGGUAGGAGUUGUCUGUAAGGAAGGAGGUAGGGGUCGUCUUUAAGGAAGGAGGUAGGGGUUGUCUGUAAGGAAGGAGUUAGGGGUUGUCUGUAAGGAAG